AGCGAACGCUGGCGGCAGGAUUAACACAUGCACGUCGAACGCCCCGCAAGGGGAGUGGCAGACGGGUGAGUAACACGUGGGAACGUACCCUUUGGUCCGGAAUAACUUGGGGAAACCCAAGCUAAUACCGGAUAAGCCCUUAUGGGGAAAGGUUUACUGCCGAAGGAUCGGCCCGCGUCUGAUUAGCUAGUUGGUGAGGUAAUGGCUCACCAAGGCGACGAUCAGUAGCUGGUCUGAGAGGAUGAUCAGCCACACUGGGGCUGAGACACGGCCCAGAAUCCUACGGGAGGCAGCAGUGGGGAAUAUAGGACAAUGGGGGCAACCAUGAUCCAGCCAUGCCGCGUGAGUGAUGAAGGCCUUAGGGUUGUAAAGCUCUUUUACCCGGGACGAUAAUGACUGUACCGGGAGAAUAAGCCCCGGCUAACUUCGUGCCAGCCGCCGCAGUAA
rnacentral:rRNA from 1 species